ACGAACGCUGGCGGCAGGCUUAACACAUGCAAGUCGAGCGCAUCCUUCGGGGUGAGCGGCCGACGGGUGAGUAACGCGUGGGAAUCUACCUUUUGCUACGGAAUAGCUCCGGGAAACUGGAAUUAAUACCGUAUGUGCCCUUAGGGGGAAAGAUUUAUCGGCAAGAGAUGAGCCCGCGUUGGAUUAGCUAGUUGGUGGGGUAAAGGCCUACCAAGGCGACGAUCCAUAGCUGGUCUGAGAGGAUGAUCAGCCACAUUGGGACUGAGACACGGCCCAAACUCCUACGGGAGGCAGCAGUGGGGAAUAUUGGACAAUGGGCGCAAGCCUGAUCCAGCCAUGCCGCGUGAGUGAUGAAGGCCUUAGGGUUGUAAAGCUCUUUCACCGGAGAAGAUAAUGACGGUAUCCGGAGAAGAAGCCCCGGCUAACUUCGUG
rnacentral:rRNA from 1 species